rnacentral:rRNA from 1 species
UACGUAGGUGGCAAGCGUUAUCCGGAUUUAUUGGGUGUAAAGGGCGUGUAGGCGGGACUGCAAGUCAGAUGUGAAAACUAUGGGCUCAACCCAUAGCCUGCAUUUGAAACUGUAGUUCUUGAGUGCUGGAGAGGCAAUCGGAAUUCCGUGUGUAGCGGUGAAAUGCGUAGAUAUACGGAGGAACACCAGUGGCGAAGGCGGAUUGCUGGACAGUAACUGACGCUGAGGCUCGAAGGUGCGGGUAUCGA